UGAGGAAUAUUGGACAAUGGGCGAAAGCCUGAUCCAGCGACGCCGCGUGAGUGAUGAAGGCCUUAGGGUUGUAAAGCUCUUUCAGUGGGGAAGAUAAUGACGGUACCCACAGAAGAAGCCCCGGCUAACUUCGUGCCAGCAGCCGCGGUAAUACGAAGGGGGCUAGCGUUACUCGGAAUUAUUGGGCGUAAAGCGUGCGCAGGCGGCUUAGUAAGUUGGAAGUGAAAGCCCAGGGCUUAACCUUGGAAUUGCUUUCAAAACUGCUAGGCUAGAGUGUCAGAGAGGAUAGCGGAAUUCCUAGUGUAGAGGUGAAAUUCGUAGAUAUUAGGAGGAACACCGGAGGCGAAAGCGGCUAUCUGGCUGAAUACUGACGCUGUUGCACGAAAGCGUGGGUAGCAAA
rnacentral:rRNA from 1 species